rnacentral:rRNA from 1 species
UGCGAACGGGUGAGUAACGCGUAAGUAACCUGCCUGGUAACGGGGGAUAACUAUUGGAAACGAUAGCUGAAUACCGCAUAACAGUCGACAUUGCAUGAUGUUGAUUUGAAAGGGGCAAUUGCUCCACUACCAGAUGGACCUGCGUUGUAUUAGCUAGUUGGUGAGGUAACGGCUCACCAAGGCGACGAUACAUAGCCGACCUGAGAGGGUGAUCGGCCACACUGGGACUGAGACACGGCCCAGACUCCUACGGGAGGCAGCAGUAGGGAAUCUUCGGCAAUGGACGGAAGUCUGACCGAGCAACGCCGCGUGAGUGAAGAAGGUUUUCGGAUCGUAAAGCUCUGUUGUAAGAGAAGAACGAGUGUGAGAGUGGAAAGUUCACACUGUGACGGUAUCUUACCAGAAAGGGACGGCUAGCUACGUGCCAGCAGCCGCGGUAAUACGUAGGUCCCAAGCGUUAUCCGGAUUUAUUGGGCGUAAAGCGAGCGCAGGCGGUCAGAUAAGUCUGAAGUUAAAGGCUGUGGCUUAACCAUAGUACGCUUUGGAAACUGUUUAACUUGAGUGCAGAAGGGGAGAGUGGAAUUCCAUGUGUAGCGGUGAAAUGCGUAGAUAUAUGGAGGAACACCGGUGGCGAAAGCGGCUCUCUGGUCUGUAACUGACGCUGAGGCUCGAAAGCGUGGGGAGCAAACAGGAUUAG